ensembl:lncRNA novel transcript, antisense to CEP170
UCGUGGCCUUGGAAGGGUGGUUGAUUUACUAGAUGAACCAGAUACCACCGGAGAAGUCUUAGAUUUCGUUACUUUACUUCCUUCCAGUUUGGAAUGUACAUGCUCAUCAGCUGAGAAAUUUACAACUAAAAUGAAAAGUGCCUCGGAAUGAAAUAUUAAAUCCAAGCUGGUGUCUGUCCACCUGUCCUUAGGAAGUCUCAACUUACGAAGUCCACAAAAUUUCUCAAAAAAGAGUUUUAUCACUUUGAAUUUGUCCCCUGCUUAAAAUCCCUCAAAA